GGCGAGAUGGCCGAGCGGUCUAAGGCGCCAGACUAAGGCAGUUGAGUGGGCUUCAACCCAGCAGCUUGCGGUAAUCUGGUCCUCACGGGCGUGGGUUCGAAUCCCACUCUCGUCA